GCAAGUCGAGGGGUAACAUUUCUAGCUUGAUAGAAGAUGACGAACGGCGGACGGGUGAGUAAUACUUAGGAAUCUAACUAGUAGUGGGGGAUAGCACGGGGAAAAUCGUAUUAAUACCGCAUACGACCUAAGGGAGAAAGGGGGCAGUUUACUGCUCUCGCUAUUAGAUGAGCCUAAGUCGGAUUAGCUAGAUGGUGGGGUAAAGGCGUACCAUGGCGACGAUCUGUAGCUGGUCUGAGAGGAUGAUC
rnacentral:rRNA from 1 species